rnacentral:lncRNA from 10 species
AAGACAAUCAGGCUGCCAGCGCCAGCAUUGGCAACCCACUGGGUUCCCGUUCCACACUGUGGAAGCUUUGUUCUUUCGCUCUUUGCAGUAAAUCUUGCUUACUGCUAACUAUUUGGGUCUACGCUGCUUUUAUGAGCUGUAACACUCACCGCGAAGAUCUGCAGCUUCACUCCUGAGCCCAGCGAGGCCACGAGUCCACCGGGAGGAACGAACAACUCCAGACGCUCUGCCUUAAGAGCUAUAACACCGCGAAGGUCUGCAGCUUCACUCCUGAGGCAGCGAGACCACGAACCCACCAGAAGGAAGACACUCUGAACACAUCUGAACAUCAGAAGGAACAAACUCCAGACGCGGCACCUUAAGAGCUGUAACACUCACCGCGAGGGUCCGCGGCUUCAUUCUUGAAGUCAGUGAGACCAAGAACCCACCAAUUCCGGACACAGUCUCCAUCUCCUGACCUCGUGAUCCACCCGCCUCGGCCUCCCAAAGUGCUGGGAUUACAGGUGUGAGCCACCGCACCCGGCCACAGCAUACCUAUUUUUAAAAAUAAGCUGACAGUUUUUUUUUUGUUUUUUUUUGGUUUUGCCUCCUGGAACUGGCCUCUUCAUAGAAUCUGCACUAAAAACCUACACAUACAACAUGGUUUAAUGAUGAUUAGGACUAAGGAAGGCUUAAUUUUCCUUAUGUAGGAAGGAAACUACAUUGUGCAGUGAUACUUGAGGGCCAGAUUUUGAUUACUUGCUAAUGUUACGGAUUUGUUUUUAUUGGGAGAUACUUUACUGUGGCUAUUCUACACCUCCAACUCUGGUAGGACCAUCUUUUUAACUCUAUUUUGGGAUUAGGAGGUGGAGUAGUUCAAGUUAGUAUGUUUGCCUGUCUGAUUACAAUAUUCUUGGCUUACAUGAGUCUUAUUAAAUUGUAACAAGGGAAUGUCAAAGCUGAAAAUUCCAAAUUCCUAUUUUCAGAUAUAAACUAUAAUCUGAAAAUCACGCUUCAUAAGAAAUAUAUGACUUUCAUAUUUUAGUCUUUAAAGUCUCUGACCUUUUUCCUGAACUUUAAAAUGUAUAUGUAUAAACAUGUAUAUUUGUGACACUUAACCAAGUAUUCACACUUCUCUAAAUUUGGGUGGUAGCAUAUAGGAAAAUAAGUAUUAGCUAACAAAUAAUGAGUGCUAUUAGCUAAAGACUAGUUAUUUUAUUUAAUCUUCACAACAACCUCUAAGGUUACUACUCUAUUUUAUUUUACAGAUUAUGAAACUAUGGCAGGGCUAGAUUAAUUUGCCCAAAGACAAAUAGUCAGUAUCCAGUGCCUGGAUUCAAGCCCAGGGACCAUGGCUCCAAAGCCCGUGUUCUUAAUUUUCAAUCUAUAUUGCCUCUUUAAGAAAUGAGUGUAGGUGGUGAAAUACAAUUGAUAACACCUAGGAAUUUAAAUUUGAGCUAUUAUAAGCAUAUGGGGAGAUCUUGCAAUUGGUGUUUCAGCUCUGAUACAAAGAAGUUGUUAGUUCAGAAAUGACAUUGAUCAGAGGUACCUGAAGAAGUCAGAGAUAGAGAACUGAGGUGAUAAAAAGAAAUGAAGACUCAGACCAGAAACAACACAGAAACACAUCUUUGUCAUUUCCUUUUAUGUUUCACAGAACUACACUUUAGUUAUAUUUAUAUAUCAAUUGCAGAUUGCUGGUGGGUGCAUAGACUGAGUACACACAUAAACACACACACACCCACACUCAUAGAACUUUUUAAAUGUACAUGUUCAGUAAAAUGUAUACAGUUUAUUCUGUUAGGUGUUGAAUCACUUUUUUGGUUGACAUUGUAACAUCAUGAUAUAAAAAUGAAACAAAUAAUAACAAAGGUUCUUGACAUGGGGAAAUUGUCCUGGAUUAUCUGAGUAGACCCAAUGUAAUAUCAGGGUUCUUUAAAAAAGUCAAAGAAGGAAAGGUAAUCAUGGAAGCAGAAUCAGAAGGAGAUUUGAAGGUGCUUGCUUCUUUGAGGAUACUGGUUUUGAAGACGGAGGAAAGAGCCAUGAGCCAAAGAACACAGAUGGCCUCUAGAAGCUAAGACGAGAGAACAGGCCUUACCCUAGAGCCUGCAGAAUUAAUGCAGCCCUGCUGACACCUUGAUUUUGGCUUGAUGAAACCCAUUUAGGACUUCUGACCUUCAGAACGUGCCCAGCUUUCCAACACCUGUGCUCUGCUGGGAAGGAGGGGCAAAAAGAAGGAGGAGCUGGACAUGAAUGCUAGGAAACCCGAGCAGGUGCUGGCCAGCUGAAUGGAGACUGAAAGCUGAAUCGUUUCUUCUGCGGAGGCAAGAAUUGAGUUUGCUUCAGACCUGGACAGAACCACUGCCGCUAACAUAUUUCGGUGCCCUGUGACUCGGAAAUGUUCCACCGGCUGCAGUUUAGGCUAACCCUGCUUAUUCCUGUAAACCAACAAGGGACCUCUGCAGUUCAGAAGAAACAAGAGGGAUCGGCCAUCAAGCUCCAGAUGAUCCUCAGUGAGGGAUACUGUCCUCUCAAUAUUCAAGAGUCACCCUUCUACAGAAGAUCCCUAGACUUCCCAUCAGUGGGACAUGACAGAGGUAAAAUUCUGCCCCUGUCUAUCUUGGACCUGUCUGGAUACUGCUUUCACCAACCCAUAGAGCCAACCCCACCCUGACAACUAGCAAGAGGCCAAGACCCACAGAACAACCACCACUGCCCUUCUAUCAGCAGGAAGCAGAAGAGUGACCUUCACCCAUUUUCCCCAAAAAUUGGGGUCUUGGACUCUUGAGGGGGUGAUGUUACAGUAGAUAGUUAGUCAUGGCAUAAACAAGGCAGGAGAGGGCUCCCCCUAACACACAUCAGGAGUGUCAGAUGACUGCCAGGGGAUGGUCUGGGUGUUGUUAACUGUCUCUCUAAAGUAACAAUUGGUCACAGCCAAUGCCAGAGAAAGGCCAUAUCCUAAUAGACAGAAAACACCUGAACUGGUGAUCAG